UACGUAAGGGGCAAGCGUUGUUCGGAAUUAUUGGGCGUAAAGGGCGUGUAGGCGGUUUUAUAAGCCUGAUGUGAAAUACCACAGCCUAACUGUGGGAACGCGUUGGGAACUGUAAGACUAGAGUUCAGGAGGGGAAACUGGAAUUCCUGGUGUAGGGGUGAAAUCUGUAGAUAUCAGGAAGAACACCGAUGGCGAAGGCAAGUUUCUGGACAUGGACUGACGCUGAGGCGCGAAAGCGUGGGGAGCAAACAGG
rnacentral:rRNA from 1 species